UAAUAAACACAAGCCCAAUUAUCAUCAUUGGUUUUGAGAUGUUACUUGCUGUGAAUACCUUGUCUGAUAGGCUACAGUAUCGUGGCAUAGUAUCAGGACAUCCUGGCUAGUGUCUGUCACGCACGGCUAGGGGCGAAUGGCCGGAUGAUGGGCCUAUUUGGGAGAAAGUCCAGGGCUGUUUUUUAGCCCCAGUACGUCCCUGCUCAUGCAAGGACAUCUGGU